rnacentral:rRNA from 1 species
AACGAACGCUGGCGGCAGGCUUAACACAUGCAAGUCGAGCGCCCCGCAAGGGGAGCGGCAGACGGGUGAGUAACGCGUGGGAAUCUACCCAUCUCUACGGAAUAACGCAUGGAAACGUGUGCUAAUACCGUAUACGUCCUUCGGGAGAAAGAUUUAUCGGAGAUGGAUGAGCCCGCGUUGGAUUAGCGAGUUGGUGGGGUAAAGGCCUACCAAGGCGACGAUCCAUAGCUGGUCUGAGAGGAUGAUCAGCCACACUGGGACUGAGACACGGCCCAGACUCCUACGGGAGGCAGCAGUGGGCAAUAUUGGACAAUGGGCGCAAGCCUGAUCCAGCCAUGCCGCGUGAGUGAUGAAGGCCCUAGGGUUGUAAAGCUCUUUCACCGGUGAAGAUAAUGACGGUAACCGGAGAAGAAGCCCCGGCUAACUUCGUGCCAGCAGCCGCUGUAACAC